rnacentral:tRNA from 1 species
AGAAUUAUAGUGUAACGGUAGCAUACCAGACUCUGACUCUGUUGGUCAUGGUUCGAAUCCAUGUGAUUCUA